rnacentral:rRNA from 1 species
CCAGACUCCUACGGGAGGCAGCAGUGGGGAAUAUUGGGCAAUGGGCGCAAGCCUGACCCAGCAACGCCGCGUGAAGGAAGAAGGCUUUCGGGUUGUAAACUUCUUUUGACAGGGAAGAGCAGAAGACGGUACCUGUCGAAUAAGCCACGGCUAACUACGUGCCAGCAGCCGCGGUAAUACGUAGGGAGCGAGCGUUGUCCGGAAUUACUGGGUGUAAAGGGAGCGUAGGCGGGACUGCAAGUUGGGUGUCAAAUCUACCGGCUCAACCGGUAGCCGCACUCAAAACUGCAGUUCUUGAGUGAAGUAGAGGCAGGCGGAAUUCCUAGUGUAGCGGUGAAAUGCGUAGAUAUUAGGAGGAACACCAGUGGCGAAGGCGGCUUACUGGACUGUAACUGACGUUGAGGCUCGAAAGCGUGGGGAGCAAACAGGAUUAGAUACCCCCGUA